GAGCACUGCCUUUGAACCUGUGAAGUCUACCCAGUGAUUCCUCAGGCCAAGCACAGUGCCAGAGUAAAGCAGACUUGUUAUAACUGGGGCUUCUUGGUCUUUCUAACCCAGGCUGCUCUUUUAAAAGCAAGUCACACCU
ensembl:snoRNA